UGCAGUCGAGCGCCCCGCAGGGGAGCGGCAGACGGGUGAGUAACGCGUGGGAAUCUACCUUUUGCUACGGAAUAACUCAGGGAAACUUGUGCUAAUACCGUAUGUGCCCCCCUUUAAAAUUUCAGGAUACAUAAAAUGCCCUGGCAUUUUAUGGGGGGGAAAGAUUUAUCGGCAAAGGAUGAGCCCGCGUUGGAUUAGCUAGUUGGUGGGGUAAAGGCCCACCAAGGCGACGAUCCAUAGCUGGUCUGAGAGGAUGAUCAGCCACACUGGGACUGAGACACGGCCCAGACUCCUACGGGAGGCAGCAGUGGGGAAUAUUGGACAAUGGGCGCAAGCCUGAUCCAGCCAUGCCGCGUGAGUGAUGAAGGCCCUAGGGUUGUAAAGCUCUUUCACCGGUGAAGAUAAUGACGGUAACCGGAGAAGAAGCCCCGGCUAACUUCGUGCCAGCAGCCGCGGUAAUACGAAGGGGGCUAGCGUUGUUCGGAUUUACUGGGCGUAAAGCGCACGUAGGCGGACUUUUAAGUCAGGGGUGAAAUCCCAGAGCUCAACUCUGGAACUGCCUUUGAUACUGGAAGUCUUGAGUAUGGUAGAGGUGAGUGGAAUUCCGAGUGUAGAGGUGAAAUUCGUAGAUAUUCGGAGGAACACCAGUGGCGAAGGCGGCUCACUGGACCAUUACUGACGCUGAGGUG
rnacentral:rRNA from 1 species